rnacentral:rRNA from 1 species
GACGAACGCUGGCGGCGUGCUUAACACAUGCAAGUCGAACGGGGCUUGCCCUUUGGGGUGGGUUUAGUGGCGAAACGGGUGAGUAACACGUGGGUAAUCUGCCCUCAGCUCUGGGAUAACUCCGGGAAAACCGGGGCUAAUACUGGAUAUGACUACUGGUGACAUCGCCUGGUGGUGGAAAGAUUUUUUGGCUGAGGAUGGGCCCGCGGCCUAUCAGCUUGUUGGUGGGGUAAUGGCCUACCAAGGCUUCGACGGGUAGCCGGCCUGAGAGGGCGACCGGCCACACUGGGACUGAGACACGGCCCAGACUCCGUAA